GCAGUACAAAAUAAUUGGAAACUUCAAUCAAGGGCAUAAAAAUAGUGCUCAAUCAACUACUUUUAUGUGCCCUAAUGGUUUAUUCUUAGUUUAUUUUUCAGACUAAUAAAAAAAUAUAUGUACAUAUGCUAUCUUAGACUAUCACCCCAUAAAUGCAAAUCUCAAAAAAUGGACAUGUAAUCUGAAACUUUUCCUAUGAAUC
rnacentral:lncRNA from 1 species